UGUGCCUCGCAGCAAUGAGGUUUGGAGACCGUGGAGGGUACUGGUUACAACCUACCCACGCCUCAGGAUAGAGACUGCAGAAAUUGUGAAAUUUCCGGAUGGAAGUUGAGUGAUCUUAAACCUGCCCCAUUCGUUGAAAGUCUACCUUAGGUAUGUUACUUAAAACUUCCUGGCCAAUACAUUAUACUUCGUGUAUUGACCUGGGAUAUAUAAAAACUGCACAACCCUUGGCAAACGAGAUAGGUACUCAGUUAAAAAGAAGUCGAAAAGUACCUGAGAUUUCUUUGCUCCAUCGAUAUUCUAUUCUCCCUUGGACCUUGAGCUCCUUGUGCCAUGUUACGAUUUGGUUGAUUGUGCCACCAUAAUCUGAGCACCUCAAGAGCAAGCAGGAGCUUGUUUUUUUCUGAGGAUCUGUGGGCCCCUGUAGAGUAUUGCUUAUAAAAGGAGGAUCAGGUGAAUGAGACGAAAGAAAAACUGCAAAGAGAGCAAAGGAGUCUUGUGCCUCCAACAGUCAGGACAAUUGAGAAUCAAAGUCUUGGACCAAACCUCUGAAGACCUCUGUUUCAGGUCUCCCCUUCGCAGCCUCUUUCCUCACUUAUAAAGCAGGAGGGGAAACAGUCUCACUGAUUAUUUUGUGAAGUUGUGAGGAUCCUAUAAAAGCUCUUACCAAGGUUGCUUGGAAAAUCAUUGAGCUUUAUCUAGGGAGAAAGUGGUAUUCAAGAUAAAGGGGGAACACUUCACAGAAGAGGUGAGCAGGAGAAGACUCCGCUACCCCCACUCCUUCACUGAGAGAGAUUUAUCUGAUGUCAAAAUCGUGGCUUGUCAACGAACCAGAAAAUAAAAACAGAUCCUCAUAUUCUGAGGUGGAAAGUCAGCGUACGUCCCAAUCGGAAAGUUUCCGAGGGAACAUGGGUUUGAGCCCUGGUCCGGGAAGAUCCCACAUGCCGAGGAGCAGCUAAGCCCGUGCGCCACAACUACAGAGCUUGUGCCCUAGAGCCCACGAGCCACAACUACUGAGCCCACAUGCCUAGAGCCUGUGCUCUGCAACAAGAGAAGCCAUCGCAAUGAGAAGCACAUGCACCACAACGAAGAGUAGCCCUUGCUCACCGCAACUACAGGAAGCCCACACACAACAAUGAAGACCCAACACAGUCAUAAAUAAAUAAAUAAAUAAAUAAAUAAAAAAGCAUACCUUGGAGACUGUGGCUUCGGUCCAGACCACUGUAAUAAAGCAAAUAUCACAAUAAAGCAAAUCACACGAAUUUUUUGGUUUCCCAGUGCAUAUAAAAGUUACAUUUACACUGUACUGUAGUCUAUUAAGUGUGCAAUAGUAUUAUGUCUUUAAAAACAAUGUACAUGCCUUAAUUUUAAAAUACGUUAUUGCUAAAAAAUGCUAACCAUCAUCUGAGUCUUCAGUGAGUUGU